rnacentral:lncRNA from 1 species
AGACAAGAGUUUUCAAGUUAUUUAUUGAGACUUGAUUUCGAAUUUUUAUUUCCUACCUGUUAGGCAUUUCCGUUGCUAGUUAAUAAGUUUAUUUUAUUUAUUUAAAGAUUUCUAUUUUAUUUCUUUUAUUUUUUGUUUCAAAGUUCCCUGCCGGGGUAUUUUUGGUCAUUUAAUAAUUCAUAAGAAAUAAGGAUGUUAU